AUUGAACGCUGGCGGAAUGCUUUACACAUGCAAGUCGAACGGCAGCACGGACUUCGGUCUGGUGGCGAGUGGCGAACGGGUGAGUAAUGUAUCGGAACGUGCCCAGUCGUGGGGGAUCACGUAGUGAAAAUUACGCUAAUACCGCAUACGAUCUAUGGAUGAAAGCGGGGGAUCGCAAGACCUCGCGCGACUGGAGCGGCCGACAUCAGAUUAGGGAGUUGGUGGGGUAAAGGCACACCAAGCCAACGAACUGUAGCUGGUCUGAGAGGCAGACAAGCCACACUGGAACUGGCACGCGGACCAGACUCCUACGGGUGGCAGCAGUGGGAAAGUUUGGAAAAUGAGCGAAAGCCUGAUCCAGCCAUUCCGCGUGCAGGAUGAAGGCCGUCGGGUUGUAAACUGCUUUUGUUCAGAACGAAAAGGUUUCUACUAAUACUACGGGCUCAUGACGGUACUGUAAGAAUAAGCACCGGCUAACUACGUGCCAGCAGCCGCCGUAA
rnacentral:rRNA from 1 species